UACGGAGGGUGCAAGCGUUAUCCGGAUUUACUGGGUUUAAAGGGUGCGUAGGCGGGCUUUUAAGUCAGUGGUGAAAGCUUCGAGCUUAACUCGAAAAUUGCCAUUGACACUAUUAGUCUUGAAUUCAGUUGAGGUCGGCGGAAUGUGUCGUGUAGAGGUGAAAUUCUUAGAUAUGACACAGAACACCAAUUGCGAAGGCAGCUGGCUAAUCUGACAUUGACGCUGAGGCACGAAAGCGUGGGGAUCAAACAGG
rnacentral:rRNA from 1 species